GCGGGUGUAGUUUAGUGGUAAAACCUCAGCCUUCCAAGCUGAUGCAGUGAGCUAGAUUAUAAUCACACGCUCAA
rnacentral:tRNA from 1 species